rnacentral:rRNA from 1 species
GACGUAGGGCGCGAGCGUUGUCCGGAUUUAUUGGGCGUAAAGAGCUCGUAGGCGGCUUGUUGCGUCGACUGUGAAAACCCGCGGCUUAACUGCGGGCUUGCAGUUGAUACGGGCAGGCUAGAGUUCGGUAGGGGAGACUGGAAUUCCUGGUGUAGCGGUGAAAUGCGUAGAUAUCUGGAGGAAUACCGGUGGCGAAGGCGGCAUCCUGGACCGGCAUUGACGCUGAGGAGCGAAAG